AAACAUUUCAGAAGACCAAAGAAAAAGGGUUCCAUUUCAGCAUUAAUUGCAGUGUAGGGUUUUCUUAACUCUCUUUCCUAGGAAAUAACUCAUUGAUGCACCAUUUGCAAUAAUUAAAUUACAGGCCAAUUCUUUUGACUAAUGUGACUCAGAAGACAUAGGUUAAAAUAGCAUCCAGAAAAUUUCUAAACAGCAUACCUUAUGGAUGAGAAUUUAGCAUGUAUCUUGAGGUUCACAUUAAUCAGAAAGCUGCUACAGAGUCUAUAGGCCUGUUAUUAUAAUUUGCUAUUUUUAAAAUUCUCUGAAGUAAUCAGAAAAUCAACCAGCUCAACAUCCCUAAAGAGAGCUGCUUCCCACCCACCAGCAGUGGCUGACUUCACUGUUGACAUAAAAACCAUGAAGAUCUCAGUCUAGUAUUCUGCCAUGUAAUUGUAUCCUUAAUUUUGGCCUUGUUGAAAGUCUGCUGGAAAACUGAGCUUGUGUGUCCUCAUUAGAAGCAAUUCAUAUGUAAAUCAUUGAAGAUUUUCUUUUAACUUGAAGAAAGAAAAUGUCCCUGUGACUCAAACAUUCUGCAGGCUCUUGCUCCUCUUGUGGUUCCCGUGUGGCCGUGACUCUUGGCAAAUCCGAUGCAGUGUGAGAGGGUUGCUGGCCACACUCUUGGCUGCUCUUGCCUUAGCUGCUGGGGAAAGCAUCUGUCAAGAGACAUUGCCUUUUGACAACCUUGGCUUAGUCAUUGAAAGGACAUGAGGUGAACUACGCUAUCUUCUGCUCUUGUGCCUGGCAUAUAUCCACAGAAGGUGCUUCCUUCUCUUUGGUCAAUACUAGCCAUCUAGAAUCAGCUUUUCUCCAUAUUAGAAGGCCUCAUUUUUCCUCUUUUACAUGCAAAAAUAAGCUGAAGGGGCAGCUUAGCAGUAGUGGAAUAAUAUCCUAGUGUUAAAAUGGAGUAAUGUGGAAAAUACAUUAAAUAAGAAAUGGUGAGAUGAGUUCUCUGGACAAUAAAAUUGGAAUGAACCAAACGAACUGCCAGUACAACACAGUGAAGCGAACGAGCACUGAGGAAACAGCCAUGGCACAAGAUUCAGGUGAAGAUGGGAAAGGGAUGCACCUGAGCCGAUCCACUUGGCCCAGCUCCAGCCCACCAAAAGGCAGUUCCCUAGCUGCCCUCUGCUGCACAGGAGAGCAACAGUUCUGCAAGGACUAUGGAAACCCAUACUUAAAAACUCCCCAAGCUGCAGCUGCCCCCGCCAAAGCUGCCAGAUCUUCCUGGUGGUGGAAACGCUACUGAAGUGCCCUACAGUCACUCCAGCAGGAAGCUGCUUCUCCCUGGGAGUCCCCCUGCUCCAGACAGCGGUCACAGCCACAGCAGCGGGGCCGCUGCCAUCCCCUGCACGCCAACACGCAUCCCGUAGGGCGAGAG
rnacentral:lncRNA from 1 species